rnacentral:tRNA from 1 species
GGGGAUGUAGCUCAGUGGUACUGUGCCUGCCUGACAAGUGCAAGGUCCCAAGUUCGAUUCCUGGUACCCCCC